rnacentral:rRNA from 1 species
AAGCUUUGUCCUCUCGGAAAAGCGCAUUUAUUAGAACAAAACCACGCGGCUUCGGCUGCUUCUUGUUGACUCAGAAUAACUAAGCUGACUGCAUGGCCUUGUGCCGGCGGCGUGUCUUUCAAGCGUCCACUUUAUCAACUUGACGGGAGCAUAAUCGACUCCCGUGGUGGUGACGGAUAACGGAGGAUCAGGGUUCGACUCCGGAGAAGGGGCCUGAGAAAUGGCCACUACGUCUAAGGAUGGCAGCAGGCGCGCAAAUUACCCACUCUCGGCUCGAGGAGGUAGUGACGAGAAAUAACGAGACUGUUCUCUUUGAGGCCGGUCAUCGGAAUGGGUACAAUUUAAACCCUUUAACGAGUAUCAAGCAGAGGGCAAGUCUGGUGCCAGCAGCCGCGGUAAUUCCAGCUCUGCUAAUACAUAGAUUAUUGCUGCGGUUAAAAAGCUCGUAGUUGGAUUCGUAUCGGUACCCUGGAACCCUCCGGGUGUUUUUGGGUGUUAUCGAUUUAUCGUAAUGUUCGGUUUUGAGUCCUUAACAGGAUUCUUAACAGGCAUUGCAAGUUUACUUUGAACAAAUCAGAGUGCUUCAAACAGGCGUUUUCGCUUGAAUGAUCGUGCAUGGAAUAAUAGAAAACGAUUUCGGUUCAGUUUUAUUGGUUUUACGGACUGAGAUAAUGGUUAACAGAGACAAACGGGGGCAUUUGUAUGGCCCCGUGAGAGGUGAAAUUCUUGGACCGUGGCCAGACAAACUACAGCGAAAGCAUUUGCCAAGAAUGUCUUCAUUAAUCAAGAACGAAAGUCAGAGGUUCGAAGGCGAUCAGAUACCGCCCUAGUUCUGACCGUAAACGAUGCCAACUAGCGAUCCGCCGAUGGAAAUUAUAUUGCCUUGGUGGGGAGCUUCCCGGAAACGAAAGUCUUCCGGUUCCGGGGGAAGUAUGGUUGCAAAGCUGAAACUUAAAGGAAUUGACGGAAGGGCACCACCAGGAGUGGAGCCUGCGGCUUAAUUUGACUCAACACGGGGAAACUCACCCGGCCCGGACACUGUGAGGAUUGACAGAUUGAUAGCUUUUUCAUGAUUCAGUGGAUGGUGGUGCAUGGCCGUUCUUAGUUCGUGGAGUGAUUUGUCUGGUUUAUUCCGAUAACGAGCGAGACUCUAACCUACUAAAUAGCUGGUACAUAAUUUAAGUGUAUGCAGCUUCUUAGAGGGAUUUGCGGUGUUCAGCCGAAAGAAAUUGAGCAAUAACAGGUCUGUGAUGCCCUUAGAUGUCCGGGGCUGCACGCGCGCUACACUGGCAAAAUCAACGUGCUUGUCCUACCCCGAAAGGGGCGGGUAAACCAUUGAAAAUUUGCCGUGAUUGGGAUCGGAAAUUGCAAUUAUUUUCCGUGAACGAGGAAUUCCAAGUAAGUGCGAGUCAUCAGCUCGCGUUGAUUACGUCCCUGCCCUUUGUACACACCGCCCGUCGCUGCCCGGGACUGAGCCAUUUCGAGAAAUUUGGGGACCGUUGAUUUAAUUUUUCUAAAUUACUUUGAUGGAAACCAAUUUAAUCGCAGUGGCUUGAACCGGGCAAAAGUCGUAACAAGGUAGCUGUAGGUGAACCUGCUGCUG